ACGCUGGCGGUAUGCUUAACACAUGCAAGUCGAACGGAAACGAUACUAGCUUGCUAGUAGGCGUCGAGUGGCGGACGGGUGAGUAACGCGUAGGAAUCUGCCUGAUAGUGGGGGAUAGCCCGAAGAAAUUCGGAUUAAUACCGCAUAAUCUAUUCGUAGUAAAGUGGGGGACUUUCGAGCCUCACGCUAUCAGAUGAGCCUGCGUAAGAUUAGCUUGUUGGUAGGGUAAAAGCCUACCAAGGCGACGAUCUUUAGCUGGUCUGAGAGGAUGAUCAGCCACAUCGGGACUGAGACACGGCCCGAACUCCUACGGGAGGCAGCAGUGGGGAAUAUUGGACAAUGGGGGCAACCCUGAUCCAGCAAUACCGCGUGUGUGAAGAAGGCCUGAGGGUUGUAAAGCACUUUCAAUUGUGAAGAAAAGUUAGCGGUUAAUAACCGUUAGCCUUGACGUUAACUUUAGAAGAAGCACCGGCUAACUCCGUGCCAGCAGCCGCGGUAAUACGGAGGGUGCAAGCGUUAAUCGGAAUUACUGGGCGUAAAGCGUGCGUAGGUGGUUUAUUAAGUCAGAUGUGAAAGCCCCGGGCUUAACCUGGGAACUGCAUUUGAAACUGGUCAACUAGAGUAUGGUAGAGGAAAGUGGAAUUUCUGGUGUAGCGGUGAAAUGCGUAGAUAUCAGAAGGAACAUCAAUGGCGAAGGCAGCUUUCUGGACCAAUACUGACACUGAGGUACGAAAGCGUGGGUAGCAAACAGGAUUAGAUACCCUGGUAGUCCACGCCGUAAACGAUGAUAACUAGCCGUUGGGGGGAUUUACCCUUUAGUGGCGAAGCUAACGCGUUAAGUUAUCCGCCUGGGGAGUACGGCC
rnacentral:rRNA from 1 species